CCAACUCUCCCCUCAAUCCUGGCUGGAGCCCGGCCCGCCUCGUCCCCAGCCGUGACCUCCCCGAGGGGCCCCGGGAAGAAAAAGGGCUUUUGGUGAGCCUCGAAGGCCCCGCUGGGGAGUCCCGAAGGGAUGCCGCCAUUGUGGAGCACUCAAAGGCCUCGGGGAGCCUCCAGAGCCUUCCCGGCGGCAGCAUCCUGGAACCGGAACACCCAGAGGAAAAGGACGCCUUCCGGGACCAAGUGCUCCAUUGCAGCUGGCGGGAGGCUCUGCCCCCACCACGUGACGAGCAGGAGGCAUUCUGGGAAAGCGGCCCCGCGCCCGGCUUGGUGCAGAGUGAAGAGCGCAGAACCCGCACAACCUCCCACACGGCCUGACACCGUCCUGGGGGCACGAGGGCCACCGCAAUGGCCCAAAGCGUCCCAAAGGCCUCGGGCUGGACAGGGCUGUCGCCUCUGAGAAGGGCUGGCGGAAGCGUCCCCCGUGACACUCACGUGCUUCCGGCCUCCACCACAAGGGGCGAAUGUGGGAAUAUGUGGCUCAAUAGCAGCUGUUUGGGGUGAAAUGCAAAAAGCACUCAAGCAGUAAAAAGAGGCUGAAACGGAGAGAAAAGGGAAGAGACUGCAAAAUGGGGCGAAUCCUGCCGGUAGCCCCUCUGGCUGGAGGUAAAAGCUGUCAGCUCAAGUCACCAUCUCCCAGAAACUCAGUGCUGGGCUUGCAGGUCCAAGGUAGGUCAGAGCCAGGAGAUCAGAGAGGUAAGAUGGCUUCCCUGUCUUCUAAUUGACUAGACUUCUAAGAGCUAGAAGUGGUCUUUCAUGCCUCCUUUCUGCUGUUUUCUGCUUCCCUCAGUUCUCUAACUCCUACUCAGAAGUCUCCUGGUUAUGGAGAAUUCUCCUUGACUGAGCCAACCCAGAUCUACCAGCUGCUGUUCCCCGCUAUCUUUGUGCCACACUCUUCUCAGUCUCUUUCCUCCUUUAACUCUGAGAAGUAUAAUCACACCUUUUGCAGGGAUCUAUCUCCCCAACCCUUACCAUUGGGGCUAUUCUGUGGUGUGAAAAGAAAAAUCCUCUGUUCCUGUCUUGGCUCUCAUUAAAGAGGCAAAACUCAAGAAGAGAAAGUUCAGAAGGGGAUGAUCAACUCCCCAAGGAAGCAGGUAUUGGUGGGAUGGCUGCAGGGCUCCCCAUGAUUCAAAGGGAGUCCUGCUUAUAUAGACGGGACUAAGCUUCUUUUAUAUGAGGGCAAAGGGACUUUGACUGGAUCACCCUCUCCUCAGAGGCAGGAUGAGAGCUGCCUCAGGUCCUCCCUAAAUGUUUUCAUUGGCCCAGGUUUCACAGGAGUAAGAGAGCUUGCAUGGCAGCUGGGGCCAUAACUUCAUGGGGAGGAGCUGACAUUAUGGCCUGCCCAUAGCCCUCCCCUGCAGGACCACCCUCGGAAGUGUGAAGAUUGGAUUUAGCCAUCUCCUGAUUGUAACAAUGAAGAUACUUAGCUCUUCCUUUAUUGGGAAGCUAGAAUUGUAAGCUACAAUCUAUUUUUAGAUUUUAACCACAAAAAGGUGUUAAGUAACUACAAAAGGUGAAUUUAACAAAAGAGGAUUUAAGUAACCUAAAAAUAUGUAAUCUAACCAGAGAAGGUGAGAACUAAAGAAUGGGCAGUCCUGGAGAAAAGCGUCUGCUGUGAUUGGUAGAUGUGAAAUUUAGGGGAGGUGACACAAGAGAAAAAGAUCUUUAAAAAGAGGACCAAAAGGCAGAAUCAUUUGAUUCGGAUUCAGACAGUCAGUCACCAGACUUGGUGCCAUCUUUCCCUUUUCUCCUCUCUCCUCUCCCUCUCCCUUUCGUACUCCCAUUGUGAUUAAACCACCACAAACUCCGUUCUGACUUGAGUGUUUCGUUUUUAGGAAUUUCGUAAGUAAAUUCCUUGGCGGCCAUGAAUUAAUAUUAUAUCAAUCUUUAAAGGUGAUAUUUUCACCAUUACAGUAUACAAUAUCUGCAUAAUUGCAAUACACAAAAUUCACACUGAUAUAAAUUUCUGUGGAAAAUUCAAACAAAUAAAGAAAUUUCUUCUCUGCAUGAAUUUGCACAGAAAUAAAAAAAUGUAUCAUAUUUGUACAUAUGCAAAUCUAUAUAGAUACAACUUAUGUACAUAUGUGAAUACUAACGUACUAAUCAACUAACUAUAUUAGAAUAAUUUAUUAAUGUUCUAAUGACUAACAAUAGGGACAGUUUAGAGAAAAUGUGUUCAAAGUCUUAGGGAAGUAGGGACAGACAUAUACUUAAGUAUGGAAGUUAGAUUGCAUUAUGAUUUUAGGUUAGCAAUUGUUAGUGCUAAAAUUUUUAUUUAGUGAAUUUGUAGACAUUAGGAGAGAAGACAGUUACAUGUUCAAAAUACUGUUGGAAUUGUGUAAAAUGGUUACAUGAUUUGUUAUUAUGUUCAAAACUAGGUUCAUGUAAAUCCUUUCCUUACCUAAAUCCGUUUCCGAUACCCAAACUUAGCACAGAACUGCAUAGACAGAAUAGCUAAGCGAAGAUUAGGGUUUGUUGCUUUGGGAGGGUAGAGGAAUAUUUAACAGAGUAAAGGCUUAAAAAUGAGAUAGCUGGAAAUGUAAUAUAUCUAUGUACCAGGUAAGGACCAUUAGCAUAAGAUGCUGGUGCCAUCUUCUUCCAAAGCCUAAAAGGGAGGAUAUUGUGCAAGUGAGAAAUUGAGAAUGGUUUGUAGCAGGAGCUUGGAAUAGCUGGGACUGAUGACCUGUCAUUCAAAUGAGCAUUCCGAUUUGGAAUGUGACCAGGAAAGAGCAGUUGGAGGAGACCAACCAAAGGCUUGACCCUCUUGGCUUGAAAGAGGGAAGAAGUUGGUUCUCUCUGGGUUUUUGGAGACGGAAGCCUGAAGGUGGUCUUUGGUUUUGAAGACAGAAGAAAGAAGGACAAAAGUCCAGCUCUCUCUCCGAUUUGCUUUAUUGUGCUAGUGACUGAUCUUCCUGACCUAUCAGCCAUUUCUCCCAAUUGAACUAUAUUACACCAUCCUUCAACCUAGGAUUCAGCUUAGUAUUAGGGAAACCCCAAAAUCCUCUUUCUUUCCAUUCCUUAUCAUUCCCAGUCUUCCCCAAUAAACCCCUUGCUUAAGAUAAAGAAGAGAAAGAGUAUUUCAUCUGAGACAUCAUAAACCUCACCCUGAGUUGAUUUAGAGAAACCAGAAGGAGAAUCAAUAAGAAGAAGAGGGAAGAAGAAGGAAGGGGGAAGGAAGAAGAAGGGAGGAGGAAGGGAGGGAAGGAGAAAGAAAGGAAGGAAGGAAGGAAAGAGAGAAAGAAAAGAUAACAGCCUGAUCUUUAGUUAUCAAUUACCAAUCAAAAUAGUCCCUUAUUACAAUUUGGUUAUGAAGUUUUAUGUCCUAAUACAUGGUCAAUUUUUGUGCAUGCACCAUCCCUAUUCAAUUUUCUCUGGAUAUCUAUUAAAUCUAUCUUUUCUGAAAUUUCAUUCACUUCCUUUACUUUAUUCUUAUUUAUUUUUUUGGUUAGAUUUAUCUGGUUCUAAUAGGGGAAAGUUGAGGUCUUUCACUAAUAUAGUUUUACUGCCCCUUUCCUCCUUAAGCUCCUUUAGUUUCUCAUUUUAAAAUCUGGAGGCUUUAUCUUUUGGUGCAUAUAUGUUAAGUAUGGUUAUUACUUCAUUUUCUAUAUUACCUUUUAUUAAGAUAUAAUGACCUUCCUCAUCUCUUUUAAUUGAAUCUAUUUUCGCUUAAGCUUUGUCUGAGAUCAUAAUUGCUACUCCUGCUUUUUUUUUUAAUAUAUUUUUCCAUGGUUACAUCAUUCAUGUUCUCUUCCUCCUCUCUUCCCUCACCCCUCCUGGAGCUGGCAACCAAUUCCACUGGUGUUAUACAUUUACUAUCACUUGAUACCUAUUUCCAUAGUAUAACUUUUUGUAAUUAAUAAAGUAAUCUUUUAAAACCAAAAUCCCAAAUCAUAUACCCAUAUAAACAAGUGGUAAAUCAUAUGGUAUUUUUUUUUGGCUACUCCCACAGUUCUUUCUCUUGAUGCGGAGAGUGUUCUUUCUCAUAAAUUCUUUGAGAUUGUCCUGGAUCAUUUCAUUGCUACUAGUAAUAAAAUUACUUAAAAGUCCAACUUUAUUUCAAUUUUUGUGUACAGUGUUCUCCUGGUCUGGUCAUUGCAAUCUGCAUCAGUUCAUGGAGGUCUUUCCAAUUCGUAUAGAAAUGAAGCAGUUCAUCAUUCCUUACAGCACAAUAGUAUUCCAGAGUAGUUAGUUUCUCUUUCUAACUCUUGCUUCUGAAUUACUGCUCCUUUUUUAAUCUCAGUUGAAACCCAAUAAAUUCUGCUCCAGCCCCUUAUCUUUACUCUGUUUGUGUCUAUCUGUCUCAUAUCAUAUCAUAGGAUUCUCGCUUUUAAUUCACUUCACUACCUGCUUCUGUUUUUUGGGUAAAUUCACCCCAUUUAUUUUCAGUUAUGAUUACCAUCUGUGUAUUUCCCUCCAACUUGUUUUCCUCUUUUAAUCCCAUACUUCCUCCUUUCACUCUGUCCCCCCACACCAGUGUAAUGGAUGGGAUACCUAACUGAGGCACAGCUGCCAAAACAGUUGCCAUGGUCAGCAGGAACAGAAUCAGAGUCCCAGUAUUCUCCUAUGUACUCUGGAAGUUUGCUUGGUCCUCCCAUGAUCCCAGUUUGGUCCCUUUGAAGUGGUAGCAAGUGGAACAGUUGAAAACAAAACUACACAAAUGACAUGCUCUGGAGUCUGCUGGGUCAAUUCAAGGGAAUAGGAUCAGCUUCUCUGGAGUGAGCUAAACAGUGAAUGACUGUGAGGGUCUCGGGAAGGAUGGCAGUGCUCAGGAAUCUCAAAAGAACAGACAGACAGGAACAUUUUCCAAACCAGUAUUUUAUACUGACCAAGAACAUCAUCUGAUAUGUCAUCAUGGAAGUAUUAUUGGUGUAUUGAUAUUGUAUCCUAUGUAUUCAUUUACCAGACUCAUGACCAUGUUACUUAUUGAUUAUUGUAUUGCCAAAUCUUCAGUCCAAAGGACAAAAAGAAUUCCUGAGCAGGACAUUAUUGGCCACAGGGUCCUGGCUCACACCUUGUUAGACCACAUUCCUUUCCAAGUCACAUGUUGAACUAGCCUCCUCCUCUCUGAUCAUGUGAUUGUCAAUUCAACCAAUGUUAAAAUCUAUGCCAUGUCACAUAUUCAUUAGUUACUUCCCUCUCCACAUUCCUAAACUCUCCAAUAAAAGUUCGGGGACAUGUGCAAGCUGGUCUCUUUUCUAUUGAGAAGCAUCACUGGAGCAUGCUACAUCCCUCAUGUUUUAACUCCUUGUCUCUGAGUCUUUAUUCCUUUGUCUCUCUCUUUCUCUCCUUUAUCUAUAUUCCCUCAGUUUCCAAUCUCCUUCUCAGGUGUCCACCCACAAGAAUUUCAAGAUGUAACUAUAGGAGGUUACAUGAUGCCUCAGAUUCUAGUUCGGCCUGGCUGGAGAGUAAAAACUGCCCUAAAUGUAUCUUUUUACUUCCUUUUUAUUUCCAGUUUGAGAACAGGCAGUUGAAAAAUUUCUCCACCUCUUCAUCACACAGAUAGCCUCUCACAGCCAGCACAACUGAGUUCUAUUUUAUUUUAUUUUAUUUAUUUAAAACCCUUACCUUCCACCUUGGAGUCAAUACUUUGUAUUGGCUCUAAGGCAGAAGAGUGGUAAGGGCUAGGCAAUGGGGGUCAAGUGACUUGCCCAGGGUCACACAGCUGGGAAGUGUCUGAGGUCAGAUUUGAACCUAGGACCUCCCAUCUCUAGGCCUGACUCUUCAUCCACUGAGCUACCCAGCUGCCCCCACAACUGAGUUUUAAAAGGAGAAACAGAAAGUACUCAUCUGGAUCCUGACAAAGGGGUCAUAAAACAAUCAGACAAGGGGUAGUAAUAGGACUGGAACAAUAUGGAAGAAUUUUUCCUAAAGAGUAUCUUGAAAUCAUAUUCCCCUUUGUGGGGAGAAGAGACUAGAACAGUGAAGGGCAACCUUUUGAGCUUGGUUCGCCAAAAAAAAAAAAAAAACAAGCAAAACUUGGGUGUCACUUUGAGAAAAAACCCAUAAUUUUAUGAUAUUUAUAGUUUAAAUAACAAAAAUGUAUCAUUAUAAUAUAUAACUGUAUUUAAUAAACCAAAAACUAAUUAUUUAACUUACCUUCUUAGUGACUUCUUUGUUCAUCUGUCCACUGGUUUCUUUUGUUGAUAUUGAUAUUAUUUCAUUUGUGUGGGGUGCUGUGAACUAAGAUAAGUGAAGGGGAAGGGGAAUUCUUUAACUAACCUGCCUAUUAGUGACUUUUUUGUUGCUGAAUGUCAUUGGCUAAAUCUUCAAUUGAAGGUUUGAACUUGAAGUCCAAGCAAGUGCUACUAACUUCUUCUGUCAAUCUGUUUCUUUUGUUGGUUUUGAUGUUAUUUAGCACUGAGAAUAAGGUCUCACAAAAGUAUGUAGAGGGAAAAAUUGGGAGUAAAGCCAUUGCUAUAUUUUUCAGAGUGCUAAAAGUGUCUGGUAAUUGGUUCCAGGCACUCCUCCAUUGCAAGUGGGCCAGAGCCUCUCACCCUGUCUUCUGCAGUCCUGGCCCUGCCCCUCUUCUCUCCUCCCCAGCUGGCUGGCCCAGGUGCACUGAGAGAGCACUUAAGUUACAUCAGACAACAACCUCAAAGUGCAAAAAAGAGAAUUUCAAUAGAAGCUGGAGUGCAGUGGCAGGUAUUGAAAGAGCUUCAGAAUGGAGCCUCACAGACAACAGUGAGUGAGUAUACAAUUGUUUUCUCAAUGAAAAGAGAACAGGAAGAUCUGAGGAAUUUUCAGAGCAGUUUCUAUAAAAAGAUUUCGUCUUUAGACAGCCUUGAAACGAAGAAUGAUUUCAGUCUGGAUUUCUCAGCACAUUUUUAAAGAUCAAACAAGAUUUUAACAAGGGAUCGUUUUGCGUAUCAUUCCAAAAACUGUCUCCAGCCUCAAUUCACCUUUCCCAAACCAUUAAUGAGGUUGAAUAACCUCAGAACCCUUUAAGUCCUGUGGUUAGUUCUAUGUUGAGAGAUUCCGUAGUUCAGUUAACCUUUCAUCAUUAGCUUAUCAGGAUCUGCUGAAUGACCAAAUCUAAGAUCGUUAAAGAACAUGAGAUUAUUGAAGCUGAUAUAACAGACAAGAGAUCUGAGAACAAAUUCUGCAUUAUUGGCAACAGAGUGGAUUUUAGGGUUAUUGUGGGAACAAAUACUUUGAGCAUCGUGUCUGUAAAUUCACAGAGGGAUGUUUUGCCAACGCUGAAUGAUGAUGCCCAAACUAAGAACCUGAAAGUUUUCAAGGUUUUGACAUUCCAAACAUGAGGGGCAGACCUGAACAUAGAGAUUUAACAUUUUCAGAGCAGUUGACUCUCCUCACUUACAAUUUAGCCAUUCACUCGGGCUUUCCAAAAGGACAUAAUUUAGAAAUUUUCAGUUGAGAAUGUAAAAGUGUUUCUUUUGUCAACAUAGAAAUCUAGAGCUCCCCAGUUUAUUUAGUUUGAGGGUAGAAACCCCAGGUUUGGACCUUGUCACAGGAGUCUCCCCCUGAGGGAAGGUCCCUCUUCACCAGACAGUGAACUUCCUGGUAGUUUGGGUGGGAGCAGGGAAUCCCAUCCAAUAUUGAACAUCCCUUUUGUCCCAAUGGUUUCUCCCCCUAGUCUAAGGUCCAUGACCAAGGUGGCCCAGCCCUGGGAUUGGUCUUUCCCUUUUGUGUCCAUUGUAGGGCAUCAGCCCCUCCGUGUUAUUCCUGUCUAGAACUCCUCAUUUUCCUUUCUUACCAUUGUAAAGUCAAUCAACUGUCCCCCUCACUCUAAGCCCUCGGGUCAUCUAGAGUGAUAUAUAGGUUCCCCAAAUUCUUUUGUUCCUCGGAGUCCAUCCUGAGUCGGUGGCACUCCCAGGGGCUGGUGACCAGGGUGUCUAGUCUCUGCAGUCUUGGGAAGCAGCUCUGUCGUCGUAUUAGUAGCGCUGACCCCUUUUCCCUUGAUUAAAGAGUGAUUUUGACUAUUUAAUAGUUCUGUGGUUUUUCUAGUUGACAUUAAUGGAGGCCCCAGCGAGACCCGAAGUCCCCGUGGCCUGAGCCCUCCAGCUAAUGAGGACCCCAGACUUGAGGUACCUCACACAACCCAUUUGGGGUUGGGUCAGGAGUCCGGUUGGCAGGGCCAGGGAAGCGGCUCUCUCGGAGGUAAGACUCGCAUCUCGUGUUUGGGGGUAACUCGCUCUUUAAUGAAGGGAUCCUUAGUCAAAUUUGUCCAUAGUCAUUGGACAUGGGUAACAGCUUGUCUGUUGUCCCAAAAUUUGGUGGGGGCGGUCAGUAGCCCAAAGAACCACCUAGAAGUAUGGCCAUAAGUUACAGGGCUUCGAAGUGUGGACGUGAUGCAAGCAAGUAAUUGGAUAAAUAGCAAACAGUGACAAAGGCCAAUCCGAAGGUAAGCUGGCCAAGGUGGGGUUCAUUUAAUGAGGAAAAGAUACUGUUUCUAUAGUCUGUUUUAAGCAAAGCAGGUCGAGAGAUUGAAGAAGAGGAAAGAGCAGUCUUCAACCAAAGGCUCGAGGAAGGCGCCUGAAGAAAAACCAGGUCAGAAGGGUCCAUAGACCAGGAGAAGGGUAAGAACCAGAGAGGUGAAGGCCAGGAGAGCCGGUCAGAGGCGUGAAAGGUUGGCUGGAAGCUUUGAGUGGAGUGUGAGAGCCCCAGGGUUCAAUUGAGAGUCUGAGUAACAGCUUUAAGUUGAGUAAAAGAGAGAAAGUUUCUUCAUGAAUUGAGAUACAAUGGCUCGAGGUUUAAAUGGUUACAAAAAAAACGCUCAUAGAAGCUUAAGAACUUAAGUUCUGGAUUUCUUCUCAAAUUUUCUGUGGGCUUUUGCUUGUAUUGUAAGUCUAAUGGAUUCCUUAGGCGAGACUUCGCUAAUAAUCAAGUGCUGGUGAUUUAAAUGUUAGCCAAUACUGUCUGUAAGUGGUGUUAAUGGAUUCCUCCCAAAGCUGAAGAGGCGAGAGCGGAGCUGGCGAUCCAGCAGGAGGCAAAAGGAGGUCCGGAAAUUCUCAACUUGAAGGUCUCCUUUUUCUUCCCAAAGUUUGGGUCUUGUUAAUGGGUGAAAUGGUGUGUAUCAAGCGCAGUUCAUAUUGGCAACAAGGUGCGUUGUAUUCUAGGUGUAUUCACUCGGGUAUUUGAGGGCUCUAAUUUCACUUUUUUUUCCAAGCUGUUCAUUGUUUUCCAAUAGCAACGUGUGGGUGAGUCCUGGAGUGAAGAAAGUUCCUUUUAGGAUGGUCAACUGCAGACCUGACCAGUCACUAGAUUGGUGUCAAUGACGAGAAAUAGUGGGGAAAAGGCAGCGCUUUAAAUGGAAGGAAACCCCAAACAUUUUAGACUGACCCAACAAAUUUCCUCUUAGGAGCGGCUUUAGCCUUAGGCCAAAGUGGUUUGAGGCAAGGCUAAGAGAGGCUAAAUUGGAGCCAAAAAAUAAUAAUAAUGAUAAUAGAAAAGGGAAAGGAAUUGUAAAGGUAUUCAGUUAAAGGUAAUUUAAGCUUUCUUAGUAAUCCUAAAUUUUGUGUUUGGAAAAACAUGUUACUGGUUUUCGAUUCUGAAAAAGCAAAAGGAUCCUAAACUGUAAACUGAUCUUUGAGUUUUUAAGGUCAAUUUCCAGAGUGCAACCAUUACAAUAGAUUUUGGUUUUAAAAGAGCAGCGAUUACUGAGAACUCAUUUUACUUUUAAAGUGGAGAGAGCGAAUGGUUUUGUGAUCAUUAUUACUGAUGAUCAUUGGCACAGGAUGGCUAAUAGAGAAGGGAAUUUCUCACCUGGGAAACUCCAGAAUUUCUAGGAAUGUAUUUGCCACCCCAGUUCUGGAGUGGUUUAAACCUAUUAAAGUUUUAUUUCAAGACAUUUCUUAGGAGCCAAAAGCCUGGACAAGAUUUUCCUGCAGCCUCGAAUCCGAAGGAUUCUCAGAGAGGACAUCUCUGAGAAAUCCAAAGGGAGCCCCAAGAUAUCGGAUCCGGAUAAGUCUUGUUUCUCAUCAUUUUCAUUGACUAGAAAUGUUUCUGUAGCAGACAUAAAAGUGGCCAUUUGAUCUCCCCGAGCAAAGUCCCUUUAAGUAGAGAACCGAGAAAGGACAGAGCCAGUCCCCAGACUGAGCUGAAGUAGGAAAAGUCUAAAUAGGAGCAUUUUACCCGACUAAGGUUUGAAAGAACAUCUGCUCACUGGAGAAGUUGCAGCAGAGAUGCCAGAGCGCUAGUUUGUCUCCAAGUAGCAUCAGAAGAAGUUGGGAAGAAUGACGGAGUCUAGAAAGAAUUGUUAGUGAUACGAGAUAAAUUUAUUUUAAAUCUGGACCCUGGUUAGGGUCAAGUAGCUAAAAGGAAUGAAAUCAAUUCCAAAAUCCCUCGCAUCUCAACCUCCCCAAAGGGGGGGGGGUGUGAGUUGAGUGUAUAAGGUUUUAAAUUUAGGAAAAUUGGAUUUUUAAUAGUGAGAAUUUUUCUGCUUUUCUAUUUCCACAGUUUGUAGGAUUCACAUGUAGGUAAAGUGAGGCAAUCUUUCUGAUGAAGCAUGUCAAUGACAUGAUUUUAUAAUCUGUGUGGAAAAGACAUUAUUAAAAAUAAUAAGAUGAAAUGGCAGAUUCCGGGUCAGCAGCGUGGAUCAUCCUGGUAGUGAGUAAGCACACGGGGAGUCGGUCCAGGCCUGUUAAAGAGUGUGUUUAUGGAUUUCUCUGAAGUUUUCUCUUGCAGCAGCGAGGAAGCUGACGGAUACCAAAGGAGGAGCCUGCCAGAGGACAGAAGUCAGAGAGGAGGCUGAAGGCAUCAUCAGGACCCACCAGAAGGGAAAGACUUCAGACUUUGGGAAAUGGGGUCCUGCUUGAUGAGGGAAAUAACCGCAAAAUUGAUAGAUGCGCAUAUUUGACCAAUGAUAGAAGUUUUACUCUUGGAGAUGUCCUCUCUCCAGCAGCUGACCAGAUUGAGGGGAGAAGCGUGAGCUUGAAGCCAUCGCUAAUAGGAAUGGAAACAGACAGUGGAAAGAGUUAACACUGGAGUAGAGACUCUCUCUUAGUUGCUACAAGGCGAAUUACAUUUCCUUUUCUUUUCUGAUUAUUUUCCUGCAGGAAGGCUAAUCCUUUGAAGGCAUUACUAGUGUCUGUGUGUCAAAUUCUCCAGAGCAGUCCCUGUAGCGCCGAUUGUUUCACGGGGCCGAAGAGUGAAAUACUCCCUUUCUUCACACGUUUGCCAUAUUUUCAUUCACCAAGUUUUAACGUUUGUCAGGCCAGCCUGACAAGGAAACCUGCCUGACACCCAUGCUCAGAGCAGAUUCCCAAGGAGGCUGUCAGGCGGAAGAGAGCGAAGCGAGGCCCAAAGGAGAGGGCGGCCAGCAGAAGCAGGGUGCAGGGAGGGGUCCUCCCUCAGACCUACCUGCACAUGCAGAGCUGGCUUCCAGAAGCCAGAGACAAUUCGGCCCCAACGGAGGAAGCAAUCACACCCAGGGCAGGACCUCAGGAUCCUGUCAACCUCUCCUCCCCAGACCCUGCCCUCCAAUGGGGGAAUGUCCUAGCCCUCAGAAUGACCCUCCUCCCCCUCUGGUCUCCAAACUGGUCCCCAGGGCUAGAAUCCCAUCUGGGCCACAUCCAUCAGCCAGUCAUCUCUGAGAGCUCCCUAGCUACAGUGUAAGAAUUUAGAUUUAGGUUUUAUGCUAAGUAGGAGAAUUCUAAAGUAAUGUUGUGGUCGCCAUUUAAAAAUAUGACAGCUUAAGUCAAAAUGACUUUUAGCAGCUUUAUUUACAAAGAGGUGCAAAGAGUGAAAGUGGAGAGACACAAAGUACUGCCUAGCUACAAAAUAUCCCAAGUUUAAUACCUAAUAUCUGUAGACCACAAAUGGGAAUCCAAAAGCAAAUCUCACGGGAAUCCAAAGUCCUAAUUAGGAAGCCCAAAUCGGAAGAGCCAGGAGAUGCUGAAGACUCCUCAGAGAACCUUUAUUGCACAACUAAGUAAGACUGCCAAGAAUCUCACCAGAACUCACGCUGAAGGGAGUGUCCCACCGAAGCACCCACAAACAGAGAGGGUCUCCUCAGCAUAGAACCAAGGACGGAAUCACUGCACUCAGCACCUCAAGCCAACACAGGAUCCAGGGAAAGAGUCUCCUCCUCCAGUCCAGCUCACCAAAGCAGAGAGCGUCCCUAAAUCCUCCGGCUGGCCUUUGUAAAGGACUUUUCUCCACUUUCUCACCUCCUAUUGCUCCCCACUUUAUGGGAACCAAUGUCAGUCUUUCAAUUUGCCUAGCACCGCCCAAGGAAGGGACAGUGACCUGUGGAGGUGUGAGCUUACUCUAGCAAGUGACUUGCAAACUCUCUUACUUAGUGUCUAGUAGGGGUACUUAAAGUUCUUGAUUUGUUUAGCUAAAAAUAGACUAGGGGAAAGUUAGUCCUAACUUCCCACCAUUGCCCAACCUCUCUCUCUCCCUAACCUUGUUCUCCAGUGUGGAUUCUCUUAUGCUUAUUUGGACUGGAGUUCCAUGGAAAGCCUUUCCAGAAUUUUUACAUCCAUAGUGUAUCUCUCCAGUGUAGACUCUCCAAUGUGCUGCAAGACAGCCCCUCUAUGUGAAAGCCUUUCCACAUUCUUUGCAUCCUUUUAGAGAGAGAGAGACAAAGGAAUAAACACUCUCAGUGUUUAUUCAAUCUCUCUUUUUUCCUCUGUCCAUUCUCCCUCAGUUUCCAAUCUCCUUCUCAGGUGUCCACCCACAAGAAUAUUAAUAUGUAACUACAGGAGGUUACAUGAUGGCGCUCAACGUGGUAUAAAUCACCUGAGGAGACAUAUUGGGGUUCAAGAUUGGAGAGAGAUCAGCAGACCUGCACUUGGCCAGUGAGAUACCAGAAGUCCAUGGAAGAAAACCAAAGGCAUCCAGCAUUUCCAAAGAAGGCCAGCCCAGAGAGAGGAGAAAGCAGAUGUCUGUACAGCACCAACCACAGCACAACGCAGAGGCCAGACACCAGACAAAACAGCAGAUGAACAAACAAGGCAAAACCACUGACUUAGGGACAGGUCUAAUGCACUAUCCACACAAAUGUACUUUUACUGAGAGGCAGUUUACCUACACAAGACUAUCAUUAAUUUGCUAAUUCUAUGCUAAAAGUAUAUGGGUAUUUGUUGUAAGAUCAAUGCUUGUCAUGUACCUGAAUACUUCAAAUGGUAUUUGUACAAUAUGUAACUUGCAGUUAUUUUAUUGUAAUUGUUCCAUUUUACUCAAAUUUGAUUAAAAAAAUUAGAUCAAUUGGAAAUGUUUUAAUAGUACAUUGGAUACUGUUGAAUUGCAACAGAAAUUGUUUGUAU